rnacentral:rRNA from 2 species
UACGUAGGGUGCGAGCGUUAAUCGGAAUUACUGGGCGUAAAGCGUGCGCAGGCGGCUUCGCAAGUCAGGCGUGAAAUCCCCGGGCUUAACCUGGGAAUGGCGUCUGAAACUACGGAGCUGGAGUGUGGCAGAGGGAGGUAGAAUUCCACGUGUAGCGGUGAAAUGCGUAGAUAUGUGGAGGAAUACCGAUGGCGAAGGCAGCCUCCUGGGCCAACACUGACGCUCAUGCACGAAAGCGUGGGGAGCAAACAGG